rnacentral:rRNA from 1 species
GACGUAGGGCGCGAGCGUUGUCCGGAUUUAUUGGGCGUAAAGAGCUCGUAGGCGGCUUGUCGCGUCGUCCGUGAAAACCUGCAGCUCAACUGCAGGCUUGCGGUCGAUACGGGCAGGCUAGAGUUCGGUAGGGGAGACUGGAAUUCCUGGUGUAGCGGUGAAAUGCGUAGAUAUCGGUAGGAACACCAGUGGCGAAGGCGGUCUCCUGGGGCAUUCUUGACGCUGAUGCGCGAAAGCUGGGGGAGCAAACGGG